rnacentral:rRNA from 1 species
UACGAAGGGGGCUAGCGUUGCUCGGAAUCACUGGGCGUAAAGCGCACGUAGGCGGAUUGUUAAGUCAGGGGUGAAAUCCUGGAGCUCAACUCCAGAACUGCCUUUGAUACUGGCGAUCUUGAGUCCGGGAGAGGUGAGUGGAACUGCGAGUGUAGAGGUGAAAUUCGUAGAUAUUCGCAAGAACACCAGUGGCGAAGGCGGGUUGCUGGGCCGACACUGACGCUGAGGCGCGAAAGCUAGGGGAGCGAACGGG